UUUUAGCUUGAAAUUUUGGGUGAACUGGAAAGAAGGAAAGGUCUUCCAAUUAUUCUCGUACCGUCUUUUGAGUUUGCCUUAAUCUGCUUCGCUAUUUUCUUUCAAAAGUUCAUAGGUUUUUCGUUACCUUUUUUUGAACUAGUGGCAAGUUAACAAAAAUCUGUCUUGGAUGGAGAAGAGUUUUGUAUGGGACUGUGGUGGUGGAGACUAUCGGGAAUCAAGCCAGCAUUAUGAUAUUUCCUCUCAAAACAGUUGUGCCACAGGGACCUUUUAUCUUUUGCAUCAAAUUGGUCCACUGUCCUUCAUACUUCCUAGAUCCCUCGGCAAUAUUAACUGUACCACGGAUACGCUAGAGAUGUUUACUAGCUUCUUCUGGUGUGUUUCCACGGAUGAUGGGAGUGUUGGGAGUACCAUCUGGUGUAUGCAUCUUCAGCUUUUCGAGCCAUCUUGUCUUCCCUUAUAUAUUCAAUUCCAUGAAGCCGAAGGACCCCUCCAGAUUUACUAAGGUUGGUUUUGAGAGGUUACAAAUGAAGACAGUGUAGAUUCAAGGAACUGUAGUAAUGCUGUUGCCAAAAACGACGAUGUAAAAGCGGGCAAUAGUCAUUUGCUGGGUCUGUAGGUAACAAGUCUGCCAUGUGCUGUCGACAAACCCCAAGAGAUGAAAAGAAAUGCUCAAAAUGGUGCGGAGGCACGGAACGUCUGAGCACUAGGCCUUAGAUAUAAAAUAAAAACCAGAUUAAGUAAGAUUACAGUUUUAAAUAAGUAAAAAUUAUCAUCAUGGUUUUUUCUCUUAAAACUGCUGUAAAUUAAACGGAAAAUGGGUCAUUUGUCCAAAUAUUUUUAA